GACCAAGAAGUCUAACAUGUGUGCGAGUCAUUGGGUAUUUCGUUGAAACCUAAGGGCGCAAUUAAAAUAACUAUUUUAUGGGAUUACAAGUGAUUGAAAGAUCAUUUCUCCAUCCCGGGGCGUUCUAUACGAACAUGGUGCAAGCAAUUGAACCCUCUGUUCAAGAGCGUACCUUGAGCAUACAUGCUGUGACCCGAAAGAUGGUGAACUAUACCUGAUCAGAUCGAAGCCAGGAGAAAUUCUGGUGGAGGAUCGAAACAGUUCUGACGUGCAAAUCGAUUGUCAGAAUUGGGUAUAGGGGCGAAAGACCAAUCGAACCAUCUAGUAGCUGGUUCCCUCCGAAGUUUCCCUCAGGAUAGCUGGCGCAAAUAAUUAUAUUUUAUAUAAUCUUAUCUGGUAAAGCGAAUGAUUAGAGGCCUUGGGGCCGAAACGACCUCAACCUAUUCUCAAACUUUAAAUGGGUAAGAACCUCAUCUUUCUUGAUCUGAAGAUAUUGGGGUUUAGAUAUAUUGUGCCCAGUGGGCCACUUUUGGUAAGCAGAACUGGCGCUGUGGGAUGAACCAAACAUGAUGUUACGGCGCCUAAAUUAAUGACUCAUAUUGAUACCAUGAAAGGCGUUGGUUGCUUAAAACAGCAGGACGGUGGACAUGGAAGUCGUAAUCCGCUAAGGAGUGUGUAACAACUCACCUGCCGAAGCAACUAGCCCUUAAAAUGGAUGGCGCUCAAGUCAUAUGCCUAUACAUCAUCGCUAGAAUAAGAGCUGUUGGCCGCUUGCGGUCAUACGGUAUGAAAUUCUAGUGAGUAGGAGGGUACAAUGGUGUGCGCAGAAGUGUUUGGCGUGAGCCUGCAUGAAGCCGCCAUUGGCACAGAUCUUGGUGGUAGUAGCAAAUAAUCGAAUGAGAUCUUGGAGGACUGAAGUGGAGAAGGGUUUCGUGUGAACAGUGGUUGAUCACGAGUUAGUCGGUCCUAAGCUUUAUGCGAAAGCUGUUUAAUUUAUGUUACAUACUUGUAAAGCAAUUUAUUUUGUUGUACAUAAAUGAAUAAAAGCGAAAGGGAAUACGGUUCCAAUUCCGUAACCUGUUGAGUAUACGUUUGUUUAUUAAAAAUGGGUCUUAUUACACUCAUCCUGGCAACAGGAACGACCAUAGAGAAGCCUUCGAGAGAUACCGGAAGAGUUUUCUUUUCUGCUAAACAUGCGUAUCACCAUGGAAGUCUUUUAUAGAGAGAUAUGGUGAAUGGCUUGGAAGAGCAUGACAUUUACUGUUGUGUCGGUAUUUUCUCCUUGGACCUUGAAAAUCUAUGGUGGGGCCACGCAAACUUCUCAACAGACCGUACCGAUAUCCGCAG
rnacentral:rRNA from 1 species